GAUUUAGUCAAUGGCCUAAAGGCUGAACCAGUAACUUGGAAGAAUGUAAAUGUAUUAAUUAUUAAUACAAUAACGAUUAAUUCGUAUAAAAUUCUAAAUAGAAUAAUGAUAAUGACAAUUUUCUAUUUAUAAGUCUUGACCAAAUUACGUGCCAGCAGUCGCGGUAAUACGUAAAAGACUAGUGUUAGUCAUCUUUAUUAGGUUUAAAGGGUACCUAGACGGUAAAUUAAACUCUUAUUGAGUAUCUUUUUACUAGAGUUUUAUAAGAGAAGGAAGAAUUUUUGGAGUAGUGAUAAAAUACUUUUAUACCAAAAAGACUGAUAACGGCGAAGGCAUCCUUCUAUGUAAAAACUGACGUUGAGGGACGAAGGCUUGGGUAGCAAUAAGGAUUAGAUACCCUAGUAGUCCAAGCAGAAAAUGAUGAAUGUCAUAAACUAGAUAAUUAAUUUAGUAUAUAAAUGAAAGUGUAAGCAUUCCACCUCAAGAGUAAUAUGGCAACAUAUAAACUGAAAUCAUUAGACCGUUUCUGAAACCAGUAGUGAAGUAUGUUAUUUAAUCA
rnacentral:rRNA from 1 species